rnacentral:rRNA from 1 species
UACGAAGGGGGCUAGCGUUGCUCGGAAUCACUGGACGUAAAGCGCACGUAGGCGGAUGUGUCAGUCAGGGGUGAAAUCCCGGAGCUCAACUUCGGAACUGCCUUUGAUACAGCACGUCUUGAGUCCGAUAGAGGUGGGUGGAAUUCCUAGUGUAGAGGUGAAAUUCGUAGAUAUUCGGAAGAACACCAGUGGCGAAGGCGACUCACUGGACAUGUAUUGACGCUGAGGUGCGAAAGCGUGGGGAGUAAACAGG